GGAAUCUACAAUUUAAAACAGUAAGAAUAUUUCAUAGUAAGCAUGUUUUAUUUCAUAGUAAGCACAUCUUAUUUAAUUUAAUUUCAUUCAAUGAAAUAUUUUUAUAGGAAGAUAUAUUUUGAUAACAACUAAGACUAAAUUUUCAGUCAGCUUAAACUUUUUUUGACAGGGCAGGAGGGAUAAAUUACAAGCGCAAGUAUAUGGGUAACUAAACUGGAAAGAAACUGUGAAAAUCUGGACUAGAGUAUUUUUAUUAAUUUUCAUUACCUCUGCUGCAUGCAAACUACUAAUCCCUGAUGUCUUAACAAAUGGGGAAGAAGUCAUGUUAAUGUACUCUGAAGCAGUCUGCGUCAAUGGGAACGCUACUUUACCAGUUAAAUGAUUGUGAUAAUGGAUCUCUCUUGUAUUACAGAAGAAAAAUGAGUUCAUUUAUCACUUUAAAUGAGGAAAGUGGGCAUUACCAUCUGUGCAUCUGGCAUAUCACUUUUACUCUGGAGACAGAACAGGCCAACAGAGAGCAGUCAUGGAGACAGAAGUACAAAACUCUUUAUUCCUGGUCAUAGAGGCUGUCACUGAUGGAGGCAGAAUCAGAGCACAGGUAAGACUAGAUAUAUGCUGUCUGCUGGGCCACACUGCCUUUCAAACCUAAGCCUUUGGGGGACAGUAAAAUGAAUCUAGCAUACCUACCCUUUGUCAGGUAAGAAGCAAUCCAUUAAUGGAGGUGUCAUUCCCUGUCUAUUAGGUAUUUGGGUGUGACAGUUUUCUAAAGUGCCCCUGCUUUCCCAGCUUCCAAAAAAAAAACCCUAUAUUCAGGUGCUCUAGAAUCUCUAUAGUCCCUCUCAAGGAUUAACAUGCUGCUUGUCUUCUGAUGUGAAGCCUUUUAGAGUUGUAUAAAUGAAACCAAGACCGGUAUAUUUACUUGGAAAUAUCAGUGAAGCAUUCAGAUACUCAUUGAUACAACAAUAUAUUUAUUCAGUGUAGAAAAUGUAACAAAGGCAUUUCACAAGUUCCUCUUCUAAGCAUACAUUGAUAUUUAUUUUACAUCAUUACCAGACCUGCUCAAGCAAGAGUAACACAACCUUCUCUCAGACAAAUGGGAAUGUGAAAGGACAAUGCAAUAUUUUAAAAUUUAUGAAAAAAAAGUCAUAGCUUCUUUCUGUUCUGCAUGUAUUUUCUUUUCAGACAAAAAGCUAGGAACAUUUUGAAUGAACUGAAAAAGCAAAACCCUGAACAUUUGAAUUUGUACAACUCAGAUUCUGCAGUAUAUAUAAAAAUAUUUUCUGAGAGACUUAAUGAAUGACAAAACACGUUUUUAUGUUUAUCUCACUCCAAGGAUUAUUAACACAUAAAGCUAUUUUUCUACCUUUUCCUUGGAUGACAAAGGAAAUACUCAUAUUCAAAAUACACUCAUCUUGCAAACAGUACUCUUCUCUUUAUUACAGUAAGUCGUACAGCCACAGGAAAUACCAACACUGCCAAUGGUGCCAGUCCUUAGUCUAAAGCCGCAAAGAGACUCCCAUUUCCUGAUUGCAUUUAAAUGUUGCUGUGCUUGAGGAGAAUUAGAGGUAUUGUGGAAAAAUUUGUCUGACUUAUUCUUGGCUAGUUUAAAAUAAGUUAGCAGACUUUUUAUAGAAGUAAAUGAUAAAGUACAGACUUUAUUUAAAGUAAAUAAAGUAAAGACUUUAUUUAAAGGCAGUACUUCUUUCUGUCACUUAACUGCAGUUUCACCACAUUGUUUGAAAGGAACACUGCUUGAAAAGGCAAUAUACUUUCACAGAAUUGUAUAUGAGUAGAGGCAGUAAAGUAGAUAAAUACAACCUCUUGAAUUUAUCUAGGCUGACCCUCUGUAUUUACCUCCUGCCUUUACCACAGCAUCGGCAGUAACAGCUUAACUUUUCAGUCUCUGGAGAUUUGUUCUUAUGUUAUCUUAAGGGCAUUCAUUAAAAAUAUGCAAUGUUGACCAAUUACUCUUACCAGAAAUACCUAGUUUAAACCUUCCUUUCUUUAUCUUGAGUCUUUCCUUUGAGAUUCUACAACACCAUGAACAGAUCUCUUCUCAAAUAAUUUUAAUCUAAAUAUAUAUAUAUAGCUAACAUCAUUUACAUCCAAGAAUCUUAUUUUCUUGACUCAUAAAUCUGGCUUUAUCACAUUUAUCAGGACAGAGUAUUUCUCUAGUUCUCUGUAUUUCUCUUGUUCUGUGAAAGAUAUUUAAUAUUGUAAUUGUUAAAUAUGCACCAUGGUUUUAUGUGAAGUUAUUGCUGAUUUCUUCCAUCAUACCAACUGUAAUUAAGAAAUGUUUCUAAGCUUUUAUUAAACUCUUAUAAAAGAAAGGAAAAUAAUUCAAAAAUAGUUUGAAGGAAAAAUGUGAGACAUUUAAACCAUUUCCUAUACUCUUAUUUUCCUCGAGAUGUAUAUAAUUUAUUCUGUUACAGAAAAAUAACUGUUUGACAGUCUUUUAAACUUGCAUUAAAGAUUCAUUAUAUAUUCCUUCUGGAGAAA